CACGUAGGGGGCGAGCGUUGUCCGGAUUUAUUGGGCGUAAAGAGCUCGUAGGCGGUUUCGUAAGUCGGAUGUGAAAACUCCAGCUCAACUUGGAGACGCCAUUCGAUACUGCGGUGCUUGAGGACUGGAGAGGAGACUGGAAUUCAUGGUGUAGCAGUGAAAUGCGUAGAGAUCAUGAGGAAGACCAGUGGCGAAGGCGG
rnacentral:rRNA from 1 species